UACAGAGGGUGCAAGCGUUGUUCGGAAUUAUUGGGCGUAAAGGGCGCGUAGGCGGUUCGGCAAGUCUCUAGUGAAAUCUCUGGGCUCAACUCAGAGUCUGCUGGGGAAACUGCCGGGCUUGAGUGUGGGAGAGGAGAGUGGAAUUCCCGGUGUAGCGGUGAAAUGCGCAGAUAUCGGGAGGAACACCAGUGGCGAAGGCGGCGACCUGGACGGACAACGUGAC
rnacentral:rRNA from 1 species